rnacentral:rRNA from 1 species
AUACGUAGGUGGCAAGCGUUGUCCGGAAUUACUGGGCGUAAAGGGCGUGUAGGUGGACUGAUCAGUCGGGUGUGAAAUAUCCGGGCUUAACCCGGAGGGUGCAUCCGAUACGGUCAGUCUUGAGUGCAGGAGAGGGCAGUGGAAUUCCCAGUGUAGCGGUGAAAUGCGUAGAUAUUGGGAGGAACACCAGUGGCGAAGGCGGCUGCCUGGACUGUAACUGACACUGAGGCGCGAAAGCGUGGGGAGCAAACAGGAUUAGAUACCCUGGUAGUCCACGCCGUAAACGAUGGGUACUAGGUGUAGGAGGUAUCGACCCCUUCUGUGCCGGAGUUAACACAAUAAGUACCCCGCCUGGGGAGUACGGCCGCAAGGUUGAA